UGUGAUGGAUGUUGGUUAAAAAAAAAGUUAAAAAAGGAAUAAAAGAAACAAAUCCUGAAUUCUUUUGGCAGACAAACUGAUACUUGGGAAAAAAGAAUAGAAGAUCACUAUGUGAAAUUUCUACUGCUGAGAGGAUGUAUUCUUAGCUGACAAAGGACAUUUAGCAUAUGAAUCAUGAAUACCUCGAAGAUGCUCCUGAACAGAAAUAAAACAAACAGAGACUGUGGCAAGCAGUGGGUUAAGCUACCUCUUGUGAAGUCAGCAUCAUAUAUGAGCAUGGUUCCAGUCCCUGAUGCUCCACCUCUGAUCCAACUCCUGUUAGAACACCUGGGAAGCCAACAGAAGAUGGUCUGAACGCCUGGGUCCCUGACACCCAUGUGGGAUACCCACGUGGAUAACUGACUCUAAGG